ensembl:lncRNA
AUAUUAAAGUUUGUAACUAGUAACUAGUAGUAAUUAGUGCUGGUAGACUGAAAUCAUGAGUGUUUGACUCUUUUGUUUCCGUCAGAUAUCCAGAUCAGACCAGAAUCACUCAAACAAAUGUCGCUGAACAUCAUCAUCAUUAUCAUCUCAUGUUCUGGAGUCAUUAUGGUCUGUUUUAUCAUCACCAUCAGCAUCUGCAUUCACAGGAAACAGAAGACACAAGAUCAACUCCGGUUCAGAGGAUGUAAGUAUAUUUACCACAGAACAGCUUAUUAUU